UAGCUCAGCCUGGUAGAGCACUGCUUUCGGGAGGCAGGGGCCGGAGGUUCGAAUCCUCU
rnacentral:tRNA from 1 species